AUUGAACGCUGGCGGCAUGCUUUACACAUGCGAGUCGAACGGCAGCGCGGGCUUCGGCCUGGCGGCGCGCGGCGAACGGGGGAGUAAUACAUCGGAACGUGCCCAGUAUUGGGGGAUAGCUCGGCGAAAGCCGGAGUAAUACCGCAUACGACCUGAGGGUGAAAGCGGGGGGUCUUCGGACAUCGCGCGAUGGGAGGGGCCGAUGGCGGGUUAGCUAGUUGGUGGGGUGAAGGCCUACCAAGGCGACGAUCGGUAGCUGGUCUGAGAGGACGACCGCCCACCUGGGAAGUGGGCCGCCGCCCAGAGUCCUACGGGAGGCAGCAGUGUGGAACGUGGGACAACGGUCGAAAGCAUUGCCCAGCAAGCCCGAGUGUGUGACGACGGCGCCGCGUUUGGAAAGACGGUCUGGCGGGAAUGAAAAGGAUUGUGCUAAUACCACGCUUGGAUGACGGUACUCGCAGAAUAAGCACCGGCUAACUACGUG
rnacentral:rRNA from 1 species